AUUAGUAAAAAAUAAAUUAAUUAAAAAGAAAAAAAAAAGGAAAGUCUGGGUUCUAAGGACUAUUAUGAAAUCCAGGAAAAGGAACUCAAACUCCUUUGUAGCAUGAGUCCUAAAGUUUACCUUUUUUACCUCUCCACCUGGCAGCUAUGCUCUCAAUAACAGUAUAGCUGGUGAGACAAUUUCAACUCUUUUUUUGUUUUUGUUUUGUUUUGUUUUGUUUUGUUUUUGAUGCCCCAGUUCUAAUUUUGCCUCACUUGUUAUCCCUAUAUGAGCAUUGGACAAUUCUCUGUGAUCAGCUUUGUCCUCUGACCCCAUUUAACUCUGCACACCUCCAUUUGCUCAGUGGUAAACUUUACAAGGGUCCUCUACCAGAAUUAAUAACGGUGAGCCUGCUUUAAUUUGAACUCGCCAAGUCCUUUGCUACAAUAAACACCCCCAAGAUUUCCUCCCGAAGCAUUUAAUAAUCUGUUUAAUUGGGCUGGCAGCAGGGGAAUGGUUUUCUUGGAAGUCUGGCUGUUCCCUCCUGUUGCUACUACCUCCUUGACCCUAAUCAUAAGCAAACAAAAGCAGUCAAAACAACAAAAUAAAAUGUGGGACACGGACACGAUACUUUACUGCACAUGAUAAAUGCUAUUUUUUUAAUCACUAUUUAUUAUCUUUACCACCUUGCUCAGUUUUCUUUCUCCAAAGAAACUUUUGAGCCCUUCGGAGUUGAACCUUCCUAACUAAAGCAUCCACCAGAAAGCCCCGUCUAUUUCUCGUCCCACCAGCAAUUUCAGCAUCCUUCUUUUGGAGUGCGGUUCCCUUUUACAUCAAGAGUGUUUCCGGAGCAGAUAACAGGCGCUACAAUCAAGGAGAAGCAGGAGACAGCAUUGCUCACACUGCCGUCACUUCUAAGUGGGAAGAGAGCCCAAAGAUCAGGAACAGGGCCGGAGCAUCUGAGAAGCCUAGUGAGAAGGACAGAAUGUUUUGCAGAAAGUCUUCCAACUUCAAAGACCAACGGUCAUCCAGUGUCCAGAGAAGAGAGGCACAUCCUGGGUCUCCACUAAAAGAGUUUCUCAGAAACAUUCCCUUGUGCUUUGGGGUAUGACGUUCCGCCACACCAUUUUGGAUCUAAAUGAAAACUUCCCUGUCUAUCUUCAAGGAAUACCGGUUGGCAUCAGAGAAAAAGAAAGACUGUCUAUGUCUAAGAACACACAGGAUCCAUUUCAAACAGAGAAAAGCCUCUAACACGCUCUUUUACCUGGUGCUGAUUUACAUGCCUUUGGAGACUCAUCCACCCAGUGAAGGACAGGGAUUCAUGUCAGCAAAGCAAUGUACCACCAGUGUCUGAUGCACAGUAGAAGCCACUAUAUAACUGUUGCUUUUAAUUCUUUAAAAAUAAAAUCUGUUUAUUAACUAUAGGUGGCCAACGUGGCAGCUGAGCCACAGGUCAGGGAAAUGGGUUCCCUAAAUCAGUCUUUCCCAAAUGCUCUGAAUUCAAGAUGGAAAUAUUUGUACAUUGAGGAGAAGUUGGGUAGAGGGCAGGCAUCAUACAUAAAAGCUCCCUGGUCAUGGUGCAAAUCAACUCCUAGAUUUUACAGUUGUUUCAAAUAGUCACUAAUACAUGACCUUGAACUCAAAACAUCAAUGCACCAGCAUCGUCCUUUCCCACAUUUUAUCAAGGACAGAGUGUUCUUUAUACACUCAGGAGUGCUGGUGAGUAUCAACUAGGUAAGGUGAGGUAUGA